CCUACGGGAGGCAGCAGUGGGGAAUCUUGUGCAAUGGACGAAAGUCUGACACAGCCACGCCGCGUGCGGGAAGAAGGCCUUCGGGUUGUAAACCGCUUUCAGCAGGAACGAAAAUGACGGUACCUGCAGAAGAAGAUGCGGCCAACUACGUGCCAGCAGCCGCGGUGAUACGUAGGCAUCAAGCGUUGUCCGGAUUUAUUGGGCGUAAAGAGCUCGUAGGCGGUUCAGCAAGUCGGGUGUGAAAACUCUGGGCUUAACCCAGAGCCUGCACUCGAAACUGCUGUGACUAGAGUUCGGUAGGGGAGCAGGGAAUUCCUAGUGUAGCGGUGAAAUGCGCAGAUAUUAGGAGGAACACCAAUGGCGAAGGCACUGCUCUGGGCCGAUACUGACGCUGAGGAGCGAGAGCGUGGGUAGCAAACAGGAUUAGAUACCCUGGUAGUCCACGCCGUAAACGAUGGGCACUAGGUGUGGGUCUCUAACCAACGAGAUCUGCGCCGUCGCUAACGCAUUAAGUGCCCCGCCUGGGGAGUACGGUCGCAAGACUAAAACGUCAAAGGAAUUGACGG
rnacentral:rRNA from 1 species